UACGGGGGGAGCAAGCGUUGUUCGGAUUUACUGGGCGUAAAGGGCGCGUAGGCGGUCAGCACAAGUCAGUUGUGAAAUCUCCGGGCUUAACCCGGAAAGGUCAACUGAUACUGUGCGACUAGAGUGCGGAAGGGGCAACUGGAAUUCUCGGUGUAGCGGUGAAAUGCGUAGAUAUCAGGAGGAAUACCGAUGGCGAAGGCAGGUCUCUGGGCUGACACUGACGCUCAUGCACGAAAGCGUGGGGAGCAAACAGG
rnacentral:rRNA from 1 species